rnacentral:rRNA from 1 species
GACGAACGCNGGCGGCGUGCCUAAUACAUGCAAGUAGAACGCUGAAGAGAGGAGCUUGCUCUUCUUGGAUGAGUUGCGAACGGGUGAGUAACGCGUAGGUAACCUGCCUGGUAGCGGGGGAUAACUAUUGGAAACGAUAGCUAAUACCGCAUAAAAUUGAUUAUUGCAUGAUAAUUAAUUGAAAGAUGCAAUUGCAUCACUACCAGAUGGACCUGCGUUGUAUUAGCUAGUUGGUGAGGUAACGGCUCACCAAGGCGACGAUACAUAGCCGACCUGAGAGGGUGAUCGGCCACACUGGGACUGAGACACGGCCCAGACUCCUACGGGAGGCAGCAGUAGGGAAUCUUCGGCAAUGGGGGGAACCCUGACCGAGCAACGCCGCGUGAGUGAAGAAGGUUUUCGGAUCGUAAAGCUCUGUUGUAAGAGAAGAACGGGUGUGAGAGNGGAAAGUUCACACNGNGACGGU